GACGAACGCUGGCGGCGUGCUUAAUACAUGCAAGUCGAACGGAAAGGCGCUGCUUUUGUGGGGUGCUCGAGUGGCGAACGGGUGAGUAACACGUGAGUAACCUGCCCUUGACUUUGGGAUAACUUCAGGAAAAUGGGGCUAAUACCGGAUAGGAGCUCCUGCUGCAUGGUGGGGGUUGGAAAGUUUCGGCGGUUGGGGAUGGACUCGCGGCUUAUCAGCUUGUUGGUGGGGUAGUGGCUUACCAAGGCUUUGACGGGUAGCCGGCCUGGGAGGGUGACCGGCCACCUUGGUACUGAGAUACGGCCCAGACUCCUACGGGAGGCAGCAGUGGGGAAUAUUGCACAAUGGGCGGAAGCCUGAUGCAGCAACGCCGCGUGCGGGAUGACGGCCUUCGGGUUGUAAACCGCUUUCGCCUGUGACGAAGCGUGAGUGACGGUAAUGGGUAAAGAAGCACCGGCUAACUACGUG
rnacentral:rRNA from 1 species